rnacentral:rRNA from 1 species
GACGAACGCUGGCGGCGUGCUUAACACAUGCAAGUCGAGCGGUAAGGCCCUUUCGGGGUACGACGAGCGGCGAACGGGUGAGUAACACGUGGGUGACCUGCCCUCCAGCUCUGGGAGUAAGCCUGGGAAACCGGGUCUAAUACUGGAUAUGACUCCAUGACGCAUGUUGGUGGGGUGGAAAGCCUUGUGCGGCUGAGGAUGGGCCCGCGGCCUAUCAGCUUGUUGGUGGGGUGAGGCCUACCAAGGCGACGACGGGUAGCCGGCCUGAGAGGGCGACCGGCCACACUGGGACGUGAGAC